UGUGUGUGUGUGUGUGUGUGCGCACGCGCGCGGCUGUUGCGGUGACCAUAUUACCGCCACACCCACAGUCUUGAGUCUCCUCUUCUGCACUCUGGACAUGCGUUGGUAGUACCUAACUCACUAACAACCAUCAGGUCCUAAUGGCUCCAUGUCCCUCUUACCAUCAGGUCCUAAUGGCUCCAUGUCCCUCUAACCAUCAGGUCCUAUUGGCUCCAUGUCCCUAUAACCAUCAGGUCCUAUAACCAUCAGGUCCUAAUGGCUCCAUGUCCCUCUAACCAUCAGGUCCUAUUGGCUCCAUGUCCCUAUAACCAUCAGGUCCUAUAACCAUCAGGUCCUAAUGGCUCCAUGUCCCUCUAACCAUCAGGUCCUAUUGGCUCCAUGUCCCUAUAACCAUCAGGUCCUAUAACCAUCAGGUCCUAAUGGCUCCAUGUCCCUCUAACCAUCAGGUCCUAUUGGCUCCAUGUCCCUCUAACCAUCAGGUCCUAAUGGCUCCAUGUCCCUCUAACCAUCAGGUCCUAUUGGCUCCAUGUCCCUAUAACCAUCAGGUCCUAUAACCAUCAGGUCCUAAUGGCUCCAUGUCCCUCUAACCAUCAGGUCCUAAUGGCUCCAUGUCCCUCUAACCAUCAGGUCCUAUUGGCUCCAUGUCCCUAUAACCAUCAGGUCCUAUAACCAUCAGGUCCUAAUGGCUCCAUGUCCCUCUAACCAUCAGGUCCUAUUGGCUCCAUGUCCCUAUAACCAUCAGGUCCUAUAACCAUCAGGUCCUAAUGGCUCCAUGUCCCUCUAACCAUCAGGUCCUAUUGGCUCCAUGUCCCUCUAACCAUCAGGUCCUAAUGGCUCCAUGUCCCUCUAACCAUCAGGUCCUAUUGGCUCCAUGUCCCUAUAACCAUCAGGUCCUAUAACCAUCAGGUCCUAAUGGCUCCAUGUCCCUCUAACCAUCAGGUCCUAAUGGCUCCAUGUCCCUCUAACCAUCAGGUCCUAUUGGCUCCAUGUCCCUCUAACCAUCAGGUCCUAAUGGCUCCAUGUCCCUCUAACCAUCAGGUCCUAUUGGCUCCAUGUCCCUAUAACCAUCAGGUCCUAUAACCAUCAGGUCCUAAUGGCUCCAUGUCCCUCUAACCAUCAGGUCCUAAUGGCUCCAUGUCCCUCUAACCAUCGGGUCCUAAUGGCUCCAUGUCCCCCUAACCAUCGGGUCCUAAUGGCUCCAUGUCCCUCUA